CCUACGGGUUGCACCAGUGAGGAAUAUUGCACAAUGGGGGAAACCCUGAUGCAGCAACGCCGCGUGGAGGAUGACGCAUUUCGGUGUGUAAACUCCUUUUAUAUGUCAAGAAAAUGACGGUAGCAUAUGAAUAAGCGCCGGCUAACUCCGUGCCAGCAGCCGCGGUAAUACGGAGGGCGCAAGCGUUACUCGGAAUCACUGGGCGUAAAGGACGCGUAGGCGGGCUAGAAAGUCAGGUGUGAAAGCCUGUGGCUCAACCAUAGAACUGCACUUGAAACUCCUAGUCUAGAGUAUGGGAGGGGGAGAUGGAAUUAGUGGUGUAGGGGUAAAAUCCGUAGAUAUCACUAGGAAUACCUAAAGCGAAGGCGAUCUCCUGGAACAUUACUGACGCUAAGGCGUGAAAGCGUGGGGAGCAAACGGGAUUAGAUACCCUGGUAGUC
rnacentral:rRNA from 1 species